rnacentral:rRNA from 1 species
AACGAACGCUGGCGGCAUGCCUAACACAUGCAAGUCGAACGAGACCUUCGGGUCUAGUGGCGCACGGGUGCGUAACGCGUGGGAACCUUCCCUUAUGUUCGGACUAACUCCCCGACAGGGGUGCUAAUACCGGAUAAUGGCUUCUGACCAAAGAUUUAUCGCCUUUGGAUGGGCCCGCGUUGGAUUAGCUAGUUGGUAGGGUAAUAGCCUACCAAGGCGACGAUCCAUAGCUGGUUUGAGAGGAUGAUCAGCCACACUGGGAGUGAGACACGGCCCAGAAUCCUACGGGAGGCAGCAGUGGGGAAUAUUGGACAAUGGGCGAAAGCCUGAUCCAGCAAUGCCGCGUGAGUGAUGAAGGCCUUAGGGUUGUAAAGCUCUUUUACCCGGGAUGAUAAUGACAGUACCGGGAGAAUAAGCUCCGGCUAACUCCGUG